UGAGGAAUAUUGGUCAAUGGGCGUAAGCCUGAACCAGCCAAGUCGCGUGAAGGAUGACUGCCCUAUGGGUUGUAAACUUCUUUUGUAAGGGGAGAAUAAAUUCUACGUGUAGGAUGAUGACAGUACCUUACGAAUAAGCAUCGGCUAACUCCGUGCCAGCAGCCGCGGUAAUACGUAGGGGGCAAGCGUUGUCCGGAAUGACUGGGCGUAAAGGGAGUGUAGGCGGUCUUUUAAGUUACGUGUGAAAUCCCACGGCUUAACCGUGGAACUGCAUGUAAAACUGGAGGACUGGAGUGCAGGAGAGGCAAGUGGAAUUCCUAGUGUAGCGGUGGAAUGCGUAGAUAUUAGGAGGAACACCAGUGGCGAAGGCGACUUGCUGGACUGUAACUGACGCUGAGGCUCGAAAGCGUGGGGAGCAAACA
rnacentral:rRNA from 1 species